GUGAUUGGCUGGGACAACCGUGGGAAAGGGCUCCCUGUUCCAUCUACUUCAGGGAAUCAAAGCUGCAGACGUGGUCCAGUCUCACGGAUUUUCUGGAAGACACCUUGAAAUCAGUAAGGAAACAGUUAAGUCCUCUUUUCAAGGAGUUACAGAAGAACAUCAGUGCCAGGAUAAUAGGGCAAUUUACUUCUGACAACAUGCAUGUGGCUAACAUUCUGAAUAACCAAGAAAUUGCACAAACUCUGGCAGAUGGAUUGAUGGAACUUUCAAAAGAAAAUUCUGACAAACCUCUGGAGUUUUUGUCCAAUUUUCUGCUGAAGAGGUGUGGUAAAGGGAGCGAGGAUUUUGAAGAAAAUAUUAUUCCAACAAAAUGUGAUCCAAAGGCAGCGUUCAGUUUACUCCUGA